ensembl:snRNA U6 U6 spliceosomal RNA
GUGCUGACUUUGGCAGCACAUAUACUAAAAUUGGAAUGACACAGAGAAGAUUAGCAUGGCCCCUGCACAGGGAUGACAUGUGAUUACAGUUGGAGAUGUCAAUGCCC